rnacentral:rRNA from 1 species
AGGACAAACGCUGGCGGCGUGCCUAAUACAUGCAAGUCGAACGGGGUGUCUGGCUUCGGCUGGGGGCUUACGUGGCGGACGGGUGAGGAACGCGUGGAUGACCUGCCCAGCAGUGGGGGAUAGCCUACAGAAAUGUGGGGUAAUACCGCAUGCGGUGGUCGUGGUAGAGCACGACCAGGAAAGCCUAAUGCGAAUUAGGCGCUGGUGGAGGGGUUUGCGUCCGAUUAGCUAGUUGGUGGGUAACGGCUCACCAAGGCGGCGAUCGGUAGCUGGUCUGAGAGGAUGAUCAGCCACACUGGGAUUGAGAACGGCCCAGACUCCUACGGGGGGCAGCAGUAAGGGAUCUUCGGCAAUGGGGGCAACCCUGACCGAGCAACGCCGCGUGUGGGACGACGGCCUUCGGGUUGUAACCACUUUUCUGGGGAAGAGAACGGACGGUACCCCAGGAAGAAGUCUCGGCUAACUACGUGCCAGCAGCCGC